ACCUGCGUAAGGAUCAUUC
rnacentral:rRNA from 1 species